AACGACUCUCGGCAACGGAUAUCUCGGCUCACGCAUCGAUGAAGAACGUAGCAAAAUGCGAUACUUGGUGUGAAUUGCAGAAUCCCGUGAACCAUCGAGUUUUUGAACGCAAGUUGCGCCCNAAGCCAUUCGGCCGAGGGCACGUCUGCCUGGGCGUCACGC
rnacentral:rRNA from 1 species